ensembl:snoRNA LOC120101261 small nucleolar RNA SNORA48
CCUCCCUGACAAUGGGCAAACAGAUACUUUGUUGGUGGCAUUGGACUUAUAUCAGAUAGGGGCAGAACAGAUGACAGUCCUUUGUUCAUCCUACUUUGACUCUUGGCAUGGUGGCCAAAGCUGUCUUAUGCCUAGGACUCAUAA